rnacentral:lncRNA from 1 species
UAGAAUUUAGGUUUCCCGCCUAAAUUUUAGUAGAAUAUAGGUUUCCCGCCUAAAGCGAAGUCUUCCAGAAGUCUUAUAGAAGUCUUCUCAUGUAUUUGAAUUUAGGAUCUAGAAUUCUCUUAGAAGACUUCCCAAGAAGUCUUCUAUAUCAAGUCUUCUAUAUCGAAAAUAUUUAACCUAAUUGGAAUUUUUGUCUUCAUAUAUAAAGAAAAUUUACACAUUAUCUUUCUUCCUCUCAAAUGGCUGCAACAAUAAUGUAAUGUUUCCCACUCUAAAACUCUCCAAUCUCUCUCUAAUCUCUUUGAACAUCAAAACACCAAAUUUAAAUCUCUGAGAAAAAUAAUGUAAUGUUUCUCACUCUUAGAAGUCUUCUCUUAGAAGACUUCCCAAGAAGUCUUCUAUAUCGAAAAUAUUUAACCUAAUUGGAAUUUUUGUUUUCAUAUAUAAAGAAAAUUUACACAUUAUCUUUCUUCCUCUCAAAUGGCUGCAACAAUAAUGUAAUGUUUCUCAAUCUACAACUCUCUAACCUCUC